rnacentral:rRNA from 1 species
GACGAACGCUGGCGGCGUGCCUAAUACAUGCAAGUAGGACGCAGUUGCGAACGGGUGAGUAACGCGUGGGUAACUGCCUAUUAGAGGGGGAUAACUAUUGGAAACGAUAGCUAAUACCGCAUACUAGUAGAUGGACCUGCGUUGUAUUAGCUAGUAGGUAGGGUAAUGGCAGACCAAGGCGAUGAGACGUAGCCGAACAGAGAGGAGGAUCGGCAAAACUGGAACUGAGACACGGCCAAGACGCCUACGGGAGGACGCAGUCGGGAAUCGUCGGCAAUGGGGCGAACCCGGACGAAGCAACGCCGCGUGAGUGAGGAGGGUAUUCGGAUCGUAAAGCUCUGUUGUUAAGGAAGCGGUACUUGACCAGAAAGGGACGGCUAACUACGUGCCAGCAGCCGGGGUAAUAC